rnacentral:lncRNA from 1 species
CUGGAAUUGGUACUGGUCACAUGAUUUUCAAAGGCUUCCAAGUUAUUUGCCAGUUUGUAGUUGCUCAGAAGAAAGCAAGGUGUCACCACCUUCUCUUCACAUUUCCUGUGGCAGGCAUACUUGCAAACUCUGCAUGAAAUGCCUUGGCUAUCAAUUACUUCUUUGCAGAAUCCACAGAUUUUGGAUUUCUUAAAGGAUUUGUUUUUGAAAGUAUGAGACUUCAAUGCUGUUUCCCGAGGCUCGCUUCCCCGGCUCUGCAGCGGCUCCCGAGCCGGCGGGGAAAGCUCUACGGCAGAACUAAUCCUCCUCCCCCUGCGCCGCACACACUUGUUUUGUAUUUCCUACAGUCCCGCCCGCCGUGGAGAAAUUUUCACCGCCUCGUUUAGGGCUGAGGAGGCGUGGAGGAGGCGCGUCGCACUGCUCUCAGCUUGGGGGCGGGAGGGCGCGGAGUAGCCCUAGCAUGCCAGGCUCACCUGAUAUUGCUCUCUAUACGACGAGAAAUCCAUUUCCUUCCGGCUUACUUAUUUAGCGCGACCCCCCUUUGGGGCCCCGGGACAGACUGGACCCUGUCACCCAAGAGGUAUUUAGUGUGGGAGGCGGAGGGUCUUUGGGCCGAUGUGAACGCUGCAACCCGGUAAGGCCCUGCAAGGCUUUGCUGGCAGAGCCCGUGCUCUGGCAGCUUUGAGCUGAAGUGUAAGGCCUGGAGUUGCAGUCCUUAGGACGUGAACAUCCACCUUUUGGUACUGUUUAGUCAAAUACGGCUUCCAAAGGAAAGGAGUAAGCUUAGAGCUGUGGACAGAUACGUACAAAGUAGUACAGUGGUAAAGCAAAAAACACACAGGCUCUUGAGGGGUCUUCACCAUCCCAAGUGCUUCAACUCAGCAUCUCAUGUUCCAGGAUGAUCCUCCAAAUCCCAGCUUAGCUGCUGUCUAAUGCCACAGGUUCCUUAUGUGUAUGUUUGUACAAGUACAGUUCUUAAAGCAUUGGCAUGCAUGCUGUUUAAACACCAAAAAAAUACCUCUUUCUUGAGGUAGUUCAAGAAAGAUGAACUCCAAUUUUUAUAGCAUCCACCAACUGGCACCGUCCUCUACUUUGCUGGAUCACAGCUUCUAUUGCUUGCACAAUCUUAGAUGCCAUACGAAACAGCUAAAGAGCAGAGUAGUUAGGAAAUACAAGCUCUUUGCAUUUAAAAUAAAUACAUAAAUAUUCAUGGAAGCAAUGUGGAAUGUGACUAAUAGGACUGAGAUGCCUAACACAGAUCACGCUAUCAGCUGAUAAAUGUGACCUCACCUGAGGAGUGUGUGCACAUCAUUAGAGAGAAAAGAUUUGAACAUCUUUCCUUUGGCUAGGACCCUGUGUAAACAAACAGAGGCCAUCUUGACAUCUUUCUAGCUUAUUUUCAGCAGCUAAAAAUCCAAAAACAAAUUCAUGGAUAUGAAUCCUAAGCAGGAACACAUACUUUACAUUGACAGAGGCAAGGGUUUACAGCCUGUCCUAUCAAUAAGUAUUUCCCUCUGGCUGCUUAGGCAACAAUGUAGUGGUUAACAUUUGGAAAUCUCUUGCUUUAGAGUAAGAAGCUCUCCUGGAGAUCCCAGAACUGGGCUUCAAAGCACAAAUCUUAGUCUGUUCUUUGCAGAGCAUUACAUUGUGGCAACAGGCAAACAGGUUAUAAUAUUUGGAAGGUACAGGGAUUCAAGUACAAAUACAUUAUUUACUAAGAGACAGCAAUAUAACAAACACUAACCGAGCAAAAGGUAGAGAUAGGUCCCAGACAUGCAUGCCAUCUAAUUUGGAUAAAGCUACGUGAUGUUGCAUUGAACGCUCCAGGAAUAUUUAGAAGUCAGGCAUAAUCAAAAGUCUUUGUUCAUAAUCACAUCUUAA